rnacentral:rRNA from 1 species
CAUAUUGCACAAUCGGCGAAAGCCUGAUUCAGCCACGCCGCGUGAGUGAUGAAGGCCUUCGGGUCGUAUAGCUCUUUGAUCAGGGAUGAUAAUGACAGUCCCUGACAAACAAGCCACGGCUAACUACGUGCCAGCAGCCGCGGUAAUACGUAUGUGGCGAGCGUUGUCCGGAAUUACUGGGCGUAAAGGAUGCGUAGGUGGAUACUUAAGUGGGAAGUGAAAUCCGCGGGCCCAAACCGGGAACUGCAUUCCAAACUGGGUAUCGAGAGUGCAGGAGAGGAAAGCGGAAUUCCUAAUGUAGCGGUGAAAUGCGUAGAUAUUAGGAGGAACACCAGUGGCGAAGGCGGCUUUCUGGACUGUAACUGACACUGAGGCAUGAAAGCGUGGGUAGCAAACAGG